GAUGAACGCUGGCGGCGUGCCUAAUACAUGCAAGUCGAGCGAACGGACGAGAAGCUUGCUUCUCUGAUGUUAGCGGCGGACGGGUGAGUAACACGUGGAUAACCUACCUAUAAGACUGGGAUAACUUCGGGAAACCGGAGCUAAUACCGGAUGAUAUUUUGAACCGCAUGGUUCAAAAGUGAAAGACGGUCUUGCUGUCACUUAUAGAUGGAUCCGCGCUGCAUUAGCUAGUUGGUAAGGUAACGGCUUACCAAGGCAACGAUGCAUAGCCGACCUGAGAGGGUGAUCGGCCACACUGGAACUGAGACACGGUCCAGACUCCUACGGGAGGCAGCAGUAGGGAAUCUUACGCAAUGGGCGAAAGCCUGACGGAGCAACGCCGCGUGAGUGAUGAAGGUCUUCGGAUCGUAAAACUCUGUUAUUAGGGAAGAACAUAUGUGUAUGUAACUGUGCACAUCUUGACGGUACCUAAUCAGAAAGCCACGGCUAACUACGUG
rnacentral:rRNA from 1 species